GGGAGAGUAGCUCAGUGGCAGAGCACAUGCUUAGCAUGCAUGAGGUUCUACGUUCAGUUCCCAGUACCUCCA
rnacentral:tRNA from 1 species